rnacentral:lncRNA from 1 species
GCAUGCACCCAAGGAAAGAUUAAAAGAAGUAAAAGGAACUCGGCAAACAUAAACCCCUCCUGUUUACCAAAACAUCACCUUCAGCAUCCCCAGUAUUGGAGGCACUGCCUGCCCAGUGACAUUUGUUCAAUGGCCACGGUAUCCUGACCCUGCAAAGUACCUUGUACAUAUUCACCUUUGUCUUUUGGAAAUUGUGGCUAAACAAUCUAAAUCGUGUGAUGUUCUCUACAGACAAAUACUGGAAAGAUAACUUUCUUCAAAAAAGUUCAACUGACUGGGACUCAAAUGGUUCAAACCAUUCUGAGGAAGGAGCUGAGUCUGCACCUUCCAAGCAAUCAAGGCAGAUGAUAUCAUGACACAAGUUCUUUGUCAUCCUUUACAUGGUCCAGUGUAUAAGAAAUGGAAAAAAGACAAUUCAUUUUUCAUAGCUCCUUCAUGUACUCUUUGCGUGGGCUGGAUUCUCUAAUGCUUUAUUUCAGGCCAUUUCCAGCUUUUCUCUAAGAUCAAUAUUUCAAACACAAUAGAUUCUGGAUGUGUAUAUAGGUUUGAGUGUUCAUGUGUGGUUGUGAUAUUGUGUUCUGUUUCUAACUUUUG